rnacentral:rRNA from 1 species
GGUACAUCGGUGACAGGUGGUGCAUGGUUGUCGUCAGCUCGUGUCGUGAGAUGUUGGGUUAAGUCCCGCAACGAGCGCAACCCCUAUUGUUAGUUGCCAUCAUUCAGUUGGGCACUCUAGCGAGACUGCCGGUAAUAAACCGGAGGAAGGUGGGGAUGACGUCAAAUCAUCAUGCCCCUUAUGACCUGGGCUACACACGUGCUACAAUGGUUGGUACAACGAGUUGCGAGUCGGUGACGGCGAGCUAAUCUCUUAAAGCCAAUCUCAGUUCGGAUUGUAGGCUGCAACUCGCCUACAUGAAGUCGGAAUCGCUAGUAAUCGCGGAUCAGCACGCCGCGGUGAAUACGUUCCCGGGCCUU